rnacentral:lncRNA from 1 species
ACACUACCAUACUCACUCUGUUUAGUACACUGCCGUACUCACUCUGUUUACUACCGUACUCACUCUGUUUAGUACACUACCGUACUCACUCUGUUUAGUACACUACCGUACUCACUCUGUUUAGUACACUACCGUACUCACUCUGUUUACUACCGUACUCACUCUGUUUAGUACAUUACAGUACUCACUCUGUUUAGCACACUACCGUACUCACUCUGUUUACUACACUACCAUACUCACUCUGUUUACUACCGUACUCAUUCUGUUUAGUACACUACCGUACUCACUCUGUUUACUACACUACCGUACUCACUCUGUUUAGCACAUUACCGUACUCACUCUUUUUAGCACACUACCUUACUCACUCUGUUUAGUACACUACCGUACUCACUCUGUUUAGUACACUACCGUACUCACUCUGUUUAGUACACUACCGUACUCACUCUGUUUAGUACACUACCGUACUCACUCUGUUUAGUACACUUCCGUACUCACUCUGUUUACUUCACUACCGUACUCACUCUGUUUACUACCGUACUCACUCUGUUUUUUACCGUACUCACUCUGUUUACUACCGUACUCACUCUGUUUACUACCGUACUCACUCUGUUUAUUACACUACCGUACUCACUCUGUUUACUACCGUACUCACUCUGUUUACUUCACUACCGUACUCACUCUGUUUACUACCGUACUCACUCUGUUUACUUCCGUACUCACUCUGUUUAGUACAUUACAGUACUCUCUCUGUUUAGCACACUACCGUACUCACUCUGUUUACUACACUACCAUACUCACUGUUUAGCACACUACCGUACUCACUCUGUUUACUACACUACCGUACUCACUCUGUUUAGCACACUACCGUACUCACUCUGUUUAGCACACUACCGUACUCACUCUGUUUACUACCGUACUCACUCUGUUUACUACCGUACUCACUCUGUUUAGCACACUACCGUACUCACUCUGUUUAGCACACUACCGUACUCACUCUGUUUAGCACACUACCGUACUCACUCUGUUUAGUACACUACCGUACUGACUCUGUUUAGCACACUACCGUACUCACUCUGUUUAGUACACUACCGUACUCACUCUGUUUAGUACACUACCGUACUCACUCUGUUUAUUACACUACCGUACUCACUCUGUUUAGUACACUACCGUACUCACUCUGUUAACUUCACUACCGUACUCACUCUGUUUACUACCGUACUCACUCAUUUUACUACCGUACUCACUCUGUUUACUACCGUACUCACUCUGUUUACUACCGUACUCACUCUGUUUAGUACACUACCGUACUCACUCUGUUUACUACCGUACUCACUCUGUUUAGUACACUACCGUACUCACUCUGUUUACUACCGUACUCACUCUGUUUACUUCACUACCAUACUCACUCUGUUUACUACCGUACUCACUCUGUUUAGUACAUUACAGUACUCACUCUGUUUAGCACACUACCGUACUCACUCUGUUUACUACACUACCGUACUCACUCUGUUUAGCACACUACCGUACUCACUCUGUUUAGUACACUACCGUACUCACUCUGUUUAGUACACUACCGUACUCACUCUGUUUACUACAAUACCGUACUCACUCUGUUUAGCACAUUACCGUACUCACUGUGUUCACUACCGUACUCACUCUGUUUAGCACACUACCGUAAUCACUCUGUUUAGUACACUACCGUACUCACUCUGUUUAGUACACUACCGUACUCACUCUGUUUAGUACACUACCGUACUCAUUCUGUUUACUACCGUACUCACUCUGUUUAGCACACUAACUUACUCACUCUGUUUAGUACACUACCGUUCUCACUCUGUUUAGUACACUACCGUACUCACUCUGUUUAGUACACUACUCACUCUGUUUACUACCGUACUCACUCUGUUUAGCACACUACCAUACUCACUCUGUUUAGUACACUACCGUACUCACUCUGUUCAGCACACUACCGUACUCACUCUGUUUACUACACUACCGUACUCACUCUGUUUAGUACACUACCGUAAUCACUCUGUUUAGUACACUACUCACUCUGUUUACUACCGUACUCACUCUGUUUAGCACACUACCAUACUCACUCUGUUUAGUACACUACCGUACUCACUCUGUUUACUACACUACCGUACUCACUCUGUUUAGCACACUACCGUACUCACUCUGUUUACUACACUACCGUACUCACUCUGUUUAGUACACUACCGUACUCACUCUGUUUACUACAAUACCGUACUCACUCUGUUUAGCACACUACCUUACUCACUCUGUUUAGGACACUACCGUACUAACUCUGUUUAGUACACUACCGUACUCACUCUGUUUAGUACACUACCGUACUCACUCUGUUUAGUACACUACCGUACUCACUCUGUUUACUACCGUACUCACUCUGUUUACUACCGUUCUCACUCUGUUUAGUACACUACCGUACUCACUCUGUUUAGUACACUACUCACUCUGUUUACUACCGUACUCACUCUGUUUAGCACACUACCAUACUCACUCUGUUUAGUACACUACCGUACUCACUCUGUUUAGCACACUACCGUACUCACUCUGUUUACUACACUACCGUACUCACUCUGUUUAGCACACUACCGUACUCACUCUGUUUAGUACACUACUCACUCUGUUUACUACCGUACUCACUCUGUUUAGCACACUACCAUACUCACUCUGUUUAGUACACUACCGUACUCACUCUGUUUACUACACUACCGUACUCACUCUGUUUAGCACACACACCGUACUCACUCUGUUUACUACACUACCGUACUCACUCUGUUUAGUACACUACCGUACUCACUCUGUUUAAUACAAUACCGUACUCACUCUGUUUAGCACACUACCUUACUCACUCUGUUUAGGACACUACCGUACUAACUCUGUUUAGUACACUACCGUACUCACUCUGUUUAGUACACUACCGUACUCACUCUGUUUAGUACACUACCGUACUCACUCUGUUUACUACCGUACUCACUCUGUUUAGUACAUUACAGUACUCACUCUGUUUAGCACACUACCGUACUCACUCUGUUUACUACACUACCAUACUCACUCUGUUUACUACCGUACUCAUUCUGUUUAGUACACUACCGUACUCACUCUGUUUAGUAC